AUUUACUAAAUUUCCUUAAGUCUUAGUUUGGUGCAUGUACGUAAUAUCCAGUAAGAGAAGGGUUCUCUUUUCCCUUUUUAUCACCUUGAAUUUGAUUUAGCCUAUCACCAUACAUAUUCAUACUAGUAUCUUGGGUCAUUCUUUGUAACUAAGCUUAGAAUAGGAUUUUGAUGUUUAUUUUUGUCAAAUAUGUGGCCAUUUUGAAUAUAUAAAAUAUGAAACUCCAUUUUCAGUCUCACUUUACUACAAAUUUGAGUUUGAGAAGAUGUGUGAAUUGUAUGUUUUCUUAUGGUCUUACGUUCAAGCAUGCCUACAAUAUUGUGUAUGGUUUGUUUAUAAGAUAUUUUCUUCUAAUUUCAUGGAAUUAUACUUUGAAUAAAAUGUUUCCAUUGAGAAAUAUACAAGCAACCUUUCAAUUUCCCCAGCUAGUCCAUCUAAGACUAGCUUUACAUUUACUAAAUAUGUGUUUGAGCACUUAUAGUUUCAUAAGAUUUAGUUGCUGCUGGGAAGGUUUAUUUGCUUGAAGCUUUACCCAACAUUUAUUUGUUAAAGCAUGCACCAGUAAGUAUAAUUUGGGUAAUACUUUACUAGGAUCUCAUUCGACUCGAUUCCUACUAUGUGUUCGUAAUCGUAACAUUGGAUGCUUGAGUUAUUUGGUUAUACAAUUGCGCAUUAUUUCGUUACCUGGUUACGUUCUUCUCCGGGAAAACGAAAAAUGUAAAUUGCUAGCUGAAAAUUUUAUACGUAUUUAAUUAGUUAUGUAUGCGUCACUCGCUUAAGCUUUAGCGGACUGUUUGUAAUAGUACGGACUGCUUGUGAACGUUUUCUUCUAAUUUCAUUAGAGUAAGGCUGAACAAAGUUUAUUCUUGAAGCAUGUCUGAAGCCCUCUUGUUUAUUCUGCUAGCCUACAAUAUGGACAGCUUUAUGUUCACUUAAAAUAUGUAAUUGUAGUGUCCACAAUUUCUUAAGGUUUGGUCAUCACUUUGCCCUAUUAAUUAUGCCUUGACUACAAGGCAUGGCAUCUGUUUGUUAUCUCACACCCUCAUCUAUUGUUGAUCAAUGUUUUUCCUUCUAAAACCCGUGUCUACUCAAUGGGAGCAUGCAUAAACAUCUACUACACCAUAUGUACGGUCUUUCGACAAGUUUUUAUUUAGUCAUGUAUUAGAGCUAACAAUCAUAGUUGUGUUGUUACAAUCAAUUUCAAAAUCAUCUACAUCCUUUUUCCACCUUUUCAUGUUAACAAAAUAUUUCAUUUCCUUUACAUUAGCUCGAUGAGUGUGUGUAUUAAUUCACCCAUGUUUAUCAAUUAUUUGAUUAGUCUCUAAUCCUUAUCUUUUUAUUUUACAUGUAAACUCGGGAGUUGGUGUUCCGCAACGAAACUCGUUUUGAUCCAAAUAAUGGGUCAAUCGCUACUAGGGUCGCAGAGUUUCGGAGUCACGUAUAUUGAGAGUUUAAGUUUCCAAAUGGAGCCAAUUAUCAUUUACCCUCUUUUGAUUUAAUUUAUGUUUAUUAUGUUGAGUUUUUCUUUAAAACGAUACUAACUUUUAUUAUUGUUAAGAUGGCUUUAUUUGGUAAUCGAUUUACGAUUGCCUUAUUAUUUAUAGAUCUUCUAGGAAUAGCUCAAUGUCGCAAAUUUCACAAAUAGAACACAGUUAAUUUGUUCAAAAGGAAAAUGUAGGUUUUAUCAGUUCGACGCUUAGCUAAUUCUUUGAAAAACUAAUUUUUGCCUCAAAAUAUCUUAAAUAAAGUUAACGUGGUAAUCUCCAAGACUUUCUAAAAUAACAAAUGAAAUUUUAGAACUAAUUUAAUAGGAAAGCAAAUCGCCGCUCAGUUUUUUUUGUAAAAUUUAUUUAAUAAUUUAUUUCAAUAAGUUAAUAAUGCUAAAAUUUUCAUUUUUUUUACAUAUCGUUGAGUUUUCCUUUUUCAGAUUUCAAAAAGACUAAAAUGCGAAGUAUAUUUAUAUAUAUAUGCACUACAAUAUACAAGGUAUUUCUGUAUCAUUAUUAUUUAUC
rnacentral:lncRNA from 1 species